AGAGUUUGAUCAUGGCUCAGAUUGAACGCUGGCGGCAUGGCUAAAACAUGCAAGUCGAGCGCGAAAGUCCUUCGGGGCGAGUAGAGCGGCGCAAGGGCGAGGAAUAUAUUCCUACGUACCCCAAGGUCGAGGAUAGCUCGGGGAAACCCGGGGUAAUACUCGAUGUGGUGCUUCGGCAUCAAAGGCUUGCUGCCUUGGGAGCGGGGAAUAUCCUAUCAGGUUGUUGGUGAGGUAAAGGCUCACCAAGCCGAAGACGGGUAGCGGGUGUGAGAGCACGACCCGCCGCAUCGGGACUGAGACACUGCCCGGACUCCUACGGGAGGCUGCAGUAACGAAUCUUCCGCAAUGCACGAAAGUGUGACGGGGCAAUGCCGCGUGUGGGAUGAAGCCCUUCGGGGUGUAAACCACUGUCAGGGUUCAGGAAACAAAUGACCAGACCCAAAGGAAGGGCCGGCUAACUCUGUGCCAGCAGCCGCGGUAAUACAGAGGGCCCGAGCGUUAAUCGGAAUCACUGGGCUUAAAGCGUACGUAGGCGGACUUGUAGGCAUCUUGUGAAAUCCCUCGGCUCAACCGGGGAAUUGCAGGUGAACCACAAGUCUUGAGCGAGUAGAGGCGGUCGGAACGAUAGUGGAGCGGUGAAAUGCGUAGAUAUCUAUCGGACGCCAAGUGAGACAGGCCGCUGGGCUCGUCUGACGCUGAGUACGAAGCGUGGUAGCGAACG
rnacentral:rRNA from 1 species